rnacentral:rRNA from 1 species
AUUGAACGCUGGCGGCAGGCCUAACACAUGCAAGUCGAACGGUAACGGGAAGAAGCUUGCUUCUUUGCUGACGAGUGGCGGACGGGUGAGUAAUGUCUGGGAAACUGCCUGAUGGAGGGGGAUAACUACUGGAAACGGUAGCUAAUACCGCAUAACGUCGCAAGACCAAAGAGGGGGACCUUCGGGCCUUUUGCCAUCGGAUGUGCCCAGAUGGGAUUAGCUAGUAGGUGGGGUAACGGCUCACCUAGGCGACGAUCCCUAGCUGGUCUGAGAGGAUGACCAGCCACACUGGAACUGAGACACGGUCCAGACUCCUACGGGAGGCAGCAGUGGGGAAUAUUGCACAAUGGGCGCAAGCCUGAUGCAGCCAUGCCGCGUGUAUGAAGAAGGCCUUCGGGUUGUAAAGUACUUUCAGCGGGGAGGAAGGGAGUAAAGUUAAUACCUUUGCUCAUUGACGUUACCCGCAGAAGAAGCACCGGCUAACUCCGUG